UUGACGGUAUCCAACCAGAAAGCCACGGCUAACUACGUGCCAGCAGCCGCGGUAAUACGUAGGUGGCAAGCGUUGUCCGGAUUUAUUGGGCGUAAAGCGAGCGCAGGCGGUUUCUUAGGUCUGAUGUGAAAGCCUUCGGCUUAACCGGAGAAGUGCAUCGGAAACCAGGAGACUUGAGUGCAGAAGAGGACAGUGGAACUCCAUGUGUAGCGGUGAAAUGCGUAGAUAUAUGGAAGAACACCAGUGGCGAAGGCGGCUGUCUGGUCUGUAACUGACGCUGAGGCUCGAAAGCAUGGGUAGCGAACAGGAUUAGAUACCCUGGUAGUCCAUGCCGUAAACGAUGAGUGCUAAGUGUUGGAGGGUUUCCGCCCUUCAGUGCUGCAGCUAACGCAUUAAGCACUCCGCCUGGGGAGUACGACCGCAAGGUUGAAACUCAAAGGAAUUGACGGGGGCCCGCACAAGCGGUGGAGCAUGUGGUUUAAUUCGAUGCUACGCGAAGAACCUUACCAGGUCUUGACAUCUUCUGCCAACCUAAGAGAUUAGGCGUUCCCUUCGGGGACAGAAUGACAGGUGGUGCAUGGUUGUCGUCAGCUCGUGUCGUGAGAUGUUGGGUUAAGUCCCGCAACGAGCGCAACCCUUAUUGUUAGUUGCCAGCAUUCAGUUGGGCACUCUAGCAAGACUGCCGGUGACAAACCGGAGGAAGGUGGGGAUGACGUCAAAUCAUCAUGCCCCUUAUGACCUGGGCUACACACGUGCUACAAUGGACGGUACAACGAGUCGCGAAACCGCGAGGUCAAGCUAAUCUCUUAAAGCCGUUCUCAGUUCGGAUUGCAGGCUGCAACUCGCCUGCAUGAAGUUGGAAUCGCUAGUAAUCGUGGAUCAGCAUGCCACGGUGAAUACGUUCCCGGGCCUUGUACACACCGCCCGUCACACCAUGAGAGUUUGUAACACCCAAAGCCGGUGAGGUAACCUUCGGGGACCAGCCGUCUAAGGUGGGACAGAUGAUUAGGGUGAAGUCGUAACAAGGUAGCCGUAGGAGAACCUGCGGCUG
rnacentral:rRNA from 1 species